rnacentral:lncRNA from 1 species
GGACAUCGUCUCCACUUCGGAAAUCUAUUAAGCCAAUUAGCCUAAUAAACAAUGUGUUGUCAAAAAAAUAAAAAUAAAUAAACAAUGUCAUACAAAGCCAGCCGUAAUAUUUAUCCAUUAUUCCGUUAAUACGCUUUUUGAAUAGUAAAAACUAAAAAAGGUAAAAGAGUGGGAGGAGCUCGAUGUUAAAAAGGUAACGUCAGGCACGCGAAUAGUGAAAGCUGAUCAAGAAUACUACAAACCCUUUUUCGGGAACGCCAUAACAAAAAAUGCAAAACGGAUUUUUAUUCCUAAUCACAAAAUUCUCAGUCUACAUCACAAUGAUGACAGACGAUUACUAUACAUAUGAGCUACAAAAGGUAUGUUAUGUAUGAUGUACAAACUCAGUGUUCAGAUGUGUAGAUAUUCUUACAACAUUGUUGUAAUGUGUGCACUAAUUUCUUGAACUUGAUAACUGUUUUUUUUUUUAAUUUUUUAAUUUAUCAUAUAUGUACAGUGAUUAUUUUUCACCAGCUCUAGAGUGAUUAAUUAGUAAACCGAAAGAGAACAAAGCAAAAGCAAAAUGGGACGACCAAAAAGAAGAAAAUGAACAGUCAAUGAGAAUGAUUCUCUAUCAUUGGAAGAUGAAGUGAUCAUCAUAUCUACAUAUGCUUUACAUAUACGGGGUCAAGAAGAUGUACUUAACACAAACUUCAACGAUUUAUGUUUUACCAUGUGCUAAGGACAUGUACUUGUCAUACAGAAACUUAGGGGUGAACAUGUAAUAAAGC